CAUCGAUCAGCAAGUCAAGAAUGUUUAUGACCAGAAGCUCAAUUCGCCUGGGAUGGCAAACUCUAGCCAACUCUUCUUAAGGCCACUAAAAGAUUGAUCAGCUUACCAGGAGGUGACAGGCAGCGUACAAAGUAUGACCACCAGUACGUACCUAGUGUACCUUGAUGUUGAGGAAAAGAGACUUUGUAGUUUACAUUGCAAACAUUGAUUAUUAUUAAUUUAUUGUACAUAUAUGUAGGCUUAAUUAUAUAAUUAUACUAUA